rnacentral:rRNA from 1 species
UACGUAGGGUGCGAGCGUUAAUCGGAAUUACUGGGCGUAAAGCGUGCGCAGGCGGUUCGUUGUGUCUGAUGUGAAAGCCCCGGGCUCAACCUGGGAAUGGCAUUGGAAGACUGGCGAGCUAGAGUGUGGCAGAGGGGGGUGGAAUUCCGCGUGUAGCAGUGAAAUGCGUAGAGAUGCGGAGGAACACCGAUGGCGAAGGCAGCCCCCUGGGCUGACACUGACGCUCAGGCACGAAAGCGUGGGGAGCAAACAGG